rnacentral:rRNA from 1 species
UAUACAUGCAGUCGAACGAACUUCCGUUAAUUGAUUAUGACGUACUUGUACUGAUUGAGAUUUUAACACGAAGUGAGUGGCGAACGGGUGAGUAACACGUGGGUAACCUGCCCAGAAGUAGGGGAUAACACCUGGAAACAGAUGCUAAUACCGUAUAACAGAGAAAACCGCAUGGUUUUCUUUUAAAAGAUGGCUCUGCUAUCACUUUUGGAUGGACCCGCGGCGUAUUAGCUAGUUGGUGAGGUAAAGGCUCACCAAGGCAGUGAUACGUAGCCGACCUGAGAGGGUAAUCGGCCACAUUGGGACUGAGACACGGCCCAGACUCCUACGGGAGGCAGCAGUAGGGAAUCUUCCACAAUGGACGCAAGUCUGAUGGAGCAACGCCGCGUGAGUGAAGAAGGGUUUCGGCUCGUAAAGCUCUGUUGUUAAAGAAGAACGUGGGUAAGAGUAACUGUUUACCCAGUGACGGUAUUUAACCAGAAAGCCACGGCUAACUACGUGCCAGCAGCCGCGGUAAUACGUAGGUGGCAAGCGUUAUCCGGAUUUAUUGGGCGUAAAGCGAGCGCAGGCGGUCUUUUAAGUCUAAUGUGAAAGCCUUCGGCUCAACCGAAGAAGUGCAUUGGAAACUGGGAGACUUGAGUGCAGAAGAGGACAGUGGAACUCCAUGUGUAGCGGUGAAAUGCGUAGAUAUAUGGAAGAACACCAGUGGCGAAGGCGGCUGUCUGGUCUGCAACUGACGCUGAGGCUCGAAAGCAUGGGUAGCGAACAGGAUUAGAUACUCUGGUAGUCCAUGCCGUAAACGAUGAUUACUAAGUGUUGGAGGGUUUCCGCCCUUCAGUGCUGCAGCUAACGCAUUAAGUAAUCCGCCUGGGGAGUACGACGCAAGNGAAACUCAAAAGAUUGA